UAGUCCACGCCGUAAACGAUGAGUGUUAGAUGUCCGAGGUGAACUUGGGUGUCCCAAGCAAACGCGAUAAACACUCCGCCUGGGGAGUACGUACGCAAGUAUGAAACUCAAAGGAAUUGACGGGGACCCGCACAAGCAGCGGAGCAUGUGGUUUAAUUCGACGCAACGCGAAGAACCUUACCAAGUCUUGACAUAACUUUGAAGAGCUUUAGAGAUAAGGCUUGUUUGACUUCGGUCAACAAAGCUAC
rnacentral:rRNA from 1 species